GAUAAACGCUGGCGGCGUGCUUAACACAUGCGAGUCGAACGAAGUUUUUCCUUCGGGAGAAACUUAGUGGCGGACGGGUGAGUAACGCGUGGGUAACCUGCCCUGUACAGGGGGACAACAGCUGUAAACGGCUGCUAAUACCGCAUAAGCCCUUAGCACUGCAUGGUGCAUAGGGAAAAGGAGCAAUCCGGUACAGGAUGGACCCGCGUCUGAUUAGCCAGUUGGCAGGGUAACGGCCUACCAAAGCGACGAUCAGUAGCCGAUCUGAGAGGAUGUACGGCCACAUUGGGACUGAGACACGGCCCAGACUCCUACGGGAGGCAGCAGUGGGGAAUAUUGCACAAUGGAGGAAACUCUGAUGCAGCGACGCCGCGUGAGUGAAGAAGUAUUUCGGUAUGUAAAGCUCUAUCAGCAGGGAAGAAAAUGACGGUACCUGACUAAGAAGCACCGGCUAAAUACGUG
rnacentral:rRNA from 1 species